AGAGUUUGAUCCUGGUUCAGAUUGAACGCUGGCGGCAUGCCUUACACAUGCAAGUCGAACGGCAGCAUGGGUGCUUGCACCUGAUGGCGAGUGGCGAACGGGUGAGUAAUGCAUCGGAACGUGCCCUGAAGUGGGGGAUAACGUAGCGAAAGUUACGCUAAUACCGCAUAUUCUGUGAGCAGGAAAGCAGGGGAUCGCAAGACCUUGCGCUUUGGGAGCGGCCGACGUCGGAUUAGCUAGUUGGUGAGGUAAAGGCUCACCAAGGCAACGAUCCGUAGCGGGUCUGAGAGGAUGAUCCGCCACACUGGGACUGAGACACGGCCCAGACUCCUACGGGAGGCAGCAGUGGGGAAUUUUGGACAAUGGGCGCAAGCCUGAUCCAGCCAUGCCGCGUGAGUGAAGAAGGCCUUCGGGUUGUAAAGCUCUUUCGGUUGGGAAGAAAUUGCCUGGGUUAAUACCCUAGGUAGAUGACGGUACCAGCAUAAGAAGCACCGGCUAACUACGUGCCAGCAGCCGCGGUAAUACGUAGGGUGCGAGCGUAAACGGAAUUACUGGGCGUAAAGCGUGCGCAGGCGGUUGUAUAAGUCAGAUGUGAAAUCCCCGGGCUCAACCUGGGAACUGCAUUUGAGACUGUACGGCUAGAGUGUGGCAGAGGGGGGUAGAAUUCCACGUGUAGCAGUGAAAUGCGUAGAGAUGUGGAGGAAUACCGAUGGCGAAGGCAGCCCCCUGGGCCAAUACUGACGCUCAUGCACGAAAGCGUGGGGAGCAAACAGGAUUAGAUACCCUGGUAGUCCACGCCCUAAACGAUGUCAACUAGAUGUUGGAAGGGUUAAACCUUUUAGUGUCGUAGCUAACGCGUGAAGUUGACCGCCUGGGGAGUACGGCCGCAAGGCUAAAACUCAAAUGAAUUGACGGGGACCCGCACAAGCGGUGGAUGAUGUGGAUUAAUUCGAUGCAACGCGAAAAACCUUACCUACCCUUGACAUGUCAGGAAUCCCGGAGAGAUUUGGGAGUGCUCGAAAGAGAACCUGAACACAGGUGCUGCAUGGCUCGUCAGCUCGUGUCGUGAGAUGUUGGGUUAAGUCCCGCAACGAGCGCAACCCUUGUCAUUAAUUGCCAUCAUUUAGUUGGGCACUUUAAUGAGACUGCCGGUGACAAACCGGAGGAAGGUGGGGAUGACGUCAAGUCCUCAUGGCCCUUAUGGGUAGGGCUUCACACGUCAUACAAUGGUCGGUUCAGAGGGUUGCCAACCCGCGAGGGGGAGCCAAUCUCAGAAAGCCGAUCGUAGUCCGGAUUGAAGUCUGCAACUCGACUUCAUGAAG
rnacentral:rRNA from 1 species